UGAAUCAGAUUACAUGGAGAGGGGGGACCUGAUCCUAGAUCAUAAUGAAUCAGAUUACAUGGAGAGGGGGGACCUGAUCCUAGAUCAUAAUGAAUCAGAUUACAUAGACAGGGGGAGCUGAUCCUGGUUCAGCACUCCUCCUUUGAGACACUGCCUUUAUGAAUAAGGAAUGCUGUUGUAAAGUCUAGUUACAGCAGGUGUUUACUGCCAUCUAGUGGAAGAUACCAAUAAAACACUUUAUUAUCAGGGUGGGGAGACGGCUGAGUGCAGGAUCCAUGGUGAGAUGACAAAAGAGGAAAACACACUAUAUGGAGAGAAGUACAAAUAAAGUAUUUCUGAACAAUAAAGGACAGAGUAAGAUAAUGAAUACCUGGAAUUACAUAUUAUUACUAGUUAGUAGAUCUCUUCUGUCAUCAUUAUUUACCCAUACACCGGUGACGUCAGAAGGGACGUGAUUUCCUCAUAUGAAAGUGAAAGUAACUGUGGUUACAAAAUGUAGCGCACAUUUCUCAGCAACAUUAGAAGCAGGAUAAAUGUGUUGAUUUGAAGGACAGACUGACAGACUCUGGAUCCAUUUUGAGACGACAGAGCAGAAAACACUAUAUGGACAAUACUGACAAAUAAAGUACGAUCAUGGAUAUUGCCUCUGAGUAUUGAAACAGAAAGACCACCAGAUAUACCCUGGCAGUAUGUGAUGAGUGAUGAGGAGAAAUUGAAAUGUUUUUUUGUCCAUUGUGUAUUUCCGUUUGUGGAAUAUUUAGAUAAAUCCUGGAAUAUAAGAAAAAUGUUUAUCUAUAAUUAAAUUGUAAAAAUAUUUAGCUUCUGCGUGGUAAAUGGUACAUGUGUAUAUAGAUUGUGUAUAGACUUGUCUCCCAUAUGACUCUUCUAUGUGGUAAAUGGUACAUGUGUAUAUAGAUUGUGUAUAGACUUGUCUCCCAUAUGAAUCUUCUAUGUGGUAAAUGGUAUGUGUAUAUAUAGAUUGUGUAUAGACUUGUCUCCCAUAUG